AGGAUUAUAGUUUAUAAAAACAUUUGAUUUGCACUCAAAAAAUAUUAAAUUUUAAUUUAAUUUAUCUUAC
rnacentral:tRNA from 1 species